rfam:Dipodomys ordii contig_25434, whole genome shotgun sequence.
UGGCUCAGUGGUAGAGCGCUUGCCUUGCAUGCAUGAGGCCCUGAGUUUGAUUCCUCAG